GAAGUAUAUGAUUGCAUUAUGUUCUAGUUGCAAUUGUAGUUUAUUGAUGGUGCUUUAUUAGAAGUGCAAGGUAAAGAAUCUAAAUCUUUAUCCAGUCAUUGCAGAGAUCCCGUUCCAUUACUCGUACCUUGGUCCUCUUUUUAGCAUUUUAACCCAUUACAUGCAGGAAACAGGAUAGGAGCUUGUGGAUACCUUGGAAAGGAGAAUGGUGAAUACUGUUUGCAUUCAGGAGACUAAAUGGGUAGGAGAGAAAAGUAAGAAAGUGGGUAAUUAAAGGUACAAACUGUGGUUUACCGAAAAGGAGAGAAGGAAGAACGGAGUGGGCAUAAUCAUAGAAAGGACAUUGAAAGACGCAGUAAUAGCUGUGAAAAGAGUAGGAGAUAGUAUGAUACUAGUAAAGCUAGUACUAGAAGAAGAAAUAAUAAAUGUAGUUAGUGCUUAUGCCCCACAAAUAGGACUAGACAGUGAGAGUAAAAAAAAGUUUUGGGAAGAUAUGUUUGAUUUAAUGCAAAGCAUACCGAAUGAAGAGAAUGUUUUCAUUGGUGGAGAUUUGAAUGGACAUGUAGGAAGUGAUAGACAAGGUUAUGAGAAUAUUCAUGGAGGUUUUGGUUUUGGCAGUAGAAAUGAGGAGGGAAAAAGCAUCCUGAAUUUUGCUAUGGCAUACGACCUAGUACUAGUAAAUACCUACUUUAUAAAAAGAGUCACAUUUAGUGACUUUCAAAAGUGGGUAACAUAAAAGUCAAAUCGACUUCCUCUUAACCAGGAAGACAAAUAGAGCUUUAUGCAAGGAUUACAAGGUCAUUCCAGGAGAGGCUUUAACAAGUCAACAUCGGUUGGUGGUCUUGGAUGUCAAGUUUAGGAACAAUUCAAGUAAAAUCAAAAGAAAUAGUGUAGCUCAAACAAAGUGGUGGGAGUUCAAAGGAGUAAAGCAAGUGAAGUUCAAAAAUGAGCUUCUCGAGUCCGAAGUAUGGAAGCUGGAUAUGGAGGCCAAUUAAAAGGGGGUACAGAUGGCAUCAAAGAUUAGAGAAGUAGCUAAAAAAGUACUUGGAGAGUCUAAAGGACAUGGACCACCCUCAAAAGAGAGAUGGUAGUAGAAUGAGGAAGUACAAAAGGCAAUGAAGAGAAAAAGGAAAUGGUAUAAGAAAUUACCUAAAUGUGAUAAUAAUGAGGCAUAUGAAAAGUACAAGAUAGCAAAGAAAGAGGCAAAAAAGGUAGCUAGUCAAGCAAGAGCACAGGCAUUUAAAAAAUUAUAUGAGAAACUUGGAACUAAAGAAGGAGAGAAAGAUAUUUAUAGAUUAGCAAGGAGGAGAGAAAGAAAAUGUCAAGAUCUCAAUCAAGAUAGGUACUUUAAGGAUAAAGAAGGAAAAGUGUUGGUGAAAGAUGAGGACAUUAAAGAAAGAUGGAGAAAUUAUUUUAAUGAUCUCUUUAAUAAUAGUCAAAAUGGUAAUAGCGUGAAUAUAGACUUUAGAACAAUAGAAAAGAAUGUGAAUUAUACUAGAAGGAUUAGAUCUUUAGAAGUAAAGAAAGCACUUAAGAUAAUGAAAGUGGGUAAAGCCUGUGGACCCGAUGAAAUACCAAUUAAAGUAUGGAAGUGUUUGGGAGAUAUGAGAGUGGCAUGGUUAACUAAAUUAUUUAAUAAGAUUCUAAACUCAAAGAAAAUGCCUGAUGAAUGGAGGAGUAUUUUAGUACCUAUUUUUAAAAAUAAGGGAGACAUACAGAGUUGCUCAAACUAUAGGGAAAUUAAACUGAGCCAUCCUAUGAAGUUGUGAGAGAAAGUUGUGGAGUAUCGACUAUGUCAUGAUACUUCUAUCUCUCUCAAUCAAUUUGGUUUCAUGCCUGGUCGUUCAACUAUGGAAGUGAUCUUUCUCAUUAGAAACUUAAUGGAGAAAUAUAGAGAUGUGAAAAAAGAUCUACAUAUGGUUUUUAUUGAUUUAGAGAAGGCUUAUGAUAGUGUUCCAAGAGAUGUCUUAUGGAAUGUGUUAAAACAAAAGAUGGUAUCUAUUAGGUACAUACAAGUGUUGAAAGAUAUGUAUGAAAGAACAAUUACUAUUGUGCGUACAGUGGGAGGGGACACAAGAGAUUUUCCGAUCUCAAUUGGAAUACACCAAGGAUCAGCCAUAAGCCCUUACCUUUUUACAUUAGUUUUAGAUGAAUUGACGAAACAUAUACAAGAGAGUAUUCCUUAGUGCAUGAUGUUUGCGGAUGAUAUUGUUCUGAUAGAUGAGACACAAGAAGGAGUCAAUAGAAAGUUAGAGUUUUGGAGAAGUACUCUAGGGUUUUAAGUUAAGUAGAAUGAAGACAGAAUACAUGCAUUGCAAGUUCAGUGAAGGCCAAACUGGUGAUAGGGAAGGAGUUAGUUUGAAUGGAGUGGUACUGUCCCAAAGUAAUCACUUUAAAUAUCUAGACUCAGUCCUUCAAGUAGAUGGGGGAUGUGAGGAGGAUGUUAGUCAUAGAAUUAAAGCCGGAUGGUUGAAGUGGAAAUGUGCCACGGGAGUUUUAUGUGAUCGCAAGAUUCCCAAUAAGUUGAAAGGAAAAUUUUACCGUACAGCCAUACGACCGGCUAUGUUAUAUGGUAGUGAGUGUUGAGUACUGAAAGAGUCGUAUGCGCCUAAGAUAAGAGUUGCAGAGAUGAGAAUGUUAAGGUGGAUGAGUGGCCAUACUAGACUAGAUAAAGUCUGUAAUGAGAGUAUUAGAGAAAAGGUAGGAGUGGUGCCAAUUGAAGAUGAGUUGAGAGAAGGGAGAUUGAGGUGAUUUUGUCAUGUGAAACGUAGACAUACGGAGGAUCCAGUUAGACAAGUAGAGCACGUUAGGUUGGAGAAUAGAAAGAAAAAAAGGGGUAGACCUAAAUUGGCUUGGAGGAGAGUAGUACAACAUGAUCUAGAAGCAUUACACAUUUUUGAGGAUUUAACCCAAAAUCGUUUAGAGUGGAGAAAGCGAAUCCAUAUAGUCGACUCCAAAUAUUUGGGAUAAAGGCUUAGUUGAGUUGAAUUGAGUUUAACCCAUUAUAUGCAGCCAUCUCUCUUCCACCCCAGUCUUUCUUCUCUCUCUCUCUCUCUCUCUCUCUCUCUCUCUCUCUCUCUCUCUCUCUCUCUCUGAGAGGCCUACAUAAUUAUUGAACAUGUCCCAUGUGUUUUUUGGGUGAUACCUGCUCCCACUACACUGAACGAUUGUGUGAGGGCUUGAAGCUUGUAAAUCAUGUUUACUUCUCACCUGAUGGGCAAUGGGUGGCUAGUGCCUCAUUUGAUAGGUCAGUCAUGUAAUGGUGUUACUGGAAAAUUCGUAAAUGCUUUUCGGAGACAUGUUGGGCCUGUUUAGCAAAUCAACUGGUCAGCUUACAAUAGGCUUGUUUCAAGUGGAAGCAAAGACUCCAUACUGAAGGAAUACUGUUUGGGAUAUAAGGACACAGAAGUUAAAACAAUACCUUCCAGGCCAUGCUGAUGAGCGCUUCCUGCCAAGACUUGUGUGCUGUUAGACUUGAUUGUAACUGAUAUUUGAGUUUUGAUUUUAUUGUGGAAAGGUAUAUG